AAAAUUAAUGUCAUUGUAUCGAAUUUUGAUCAAAUGCGUCAUGCUGAUUGCAGAAAACGCAAGAUAUAUACUUGUUUCCGAUAAUAACGAGGUAAAUUUCAAUAUCUCUGGGCAAUGAAUUUGGCAACGAUGGUGAGGCAACUGGACCAUUGCGACCAUGGUAGGCAGUGCUUUAAAAGAGCCAGCAAACUGUUUUCUAAACAGCAUUCGAUAAUUCGAUCCGCUUUCCUCCGAAGAUCCAACUGUCAAAAAUCGGUUACCUCUUCUUGGCCGCUAGCACAUACAUUUAUAACACACACGCAACCAUGCGCAUCUUCUCCGUGGCAGUUCUGCUUGUCGCCGUGCUGUGCCUAGUCUCUGUUCAGGGAGCCGCAAUUGACCAAGCGGACGGUGAAGCGGAAACAAUGCUCCGUCGGCAGAAACGCGACAGCCACCGCUGCUACAGCGAUUACGACUGCUCCUCGUGGCGCUACUGCAGCUCCUAUGGCUACUGCCACGAACGCAGCCGUUCGCUCGUGCAUUAAAUGCGCAAGCGUCCUAUGUCGACAACAAUCAACACCACGCUUAUUGUUGGUAUCACAAUUCUCCUUACGUCAUAUACGUCGCGCCCGCGUCUUUCACAACAAAAGUACUUAAUCAUUGCAACAGCGGAUGACGAUGAGGAUGAAGCGCAUCAUUGCUACCUUAUAACAAAUACUGGUUUAAUUAUCUCUAAAUUUGAAGCCAAGACUGCCCAAAGUGCGCCACCCAUAGAUGGGACGCUUUUCAAGGUUGUUUAGCUGUAUUAUCUGAACCUGUCGCUUAUAAUAAAAUAAUAAUGGGCGUCAAUAAAAUUAAAAAACUGGUGAGGA